rnacentral:rRNA from 1 species
GGGUUGUGAGGUUAAGCGACUAAGCGUACACGGUGGAUGCCCUGGCAGUCAGAGGCGAUGAAGGACGUGCUAAUCUGCGAUAAGCGUCGGUAAGGUGAUAUGAACCGUUAUAACCGGCGAUUUCCGAAUGGGGAAACCCAGUGUGAUUCGUCACACUAUCAUUAACUGAAUCCAUAGGUUAAUGAGGCGAACCGGGGGAACUGAAACAUCUAAGUACCCCGAGGAAAAGAAAUCAACCGAGAUUCCCCCAGUAGCGGCGAGCGAACGGGGAGCAGCCCAGAGCCUGAAUCAGUGUGUGUGUUAGUGGAAGCGUCUGGAAAGGCGCGCGAUACAGGGUGACAGCCCCGUACACAAAAAUGCACAUACUGUGAGCUCGAUGAGUAGGGCGGGACACGUGGUAUCCUGUCUGAAUAUGGGGGGACCAUCCUCCAAGGCUAAAUACUCCUGACUGACCGAUAGUGAACCAGUACCGUGAGGGAAAGGCGAAAAGAACCCCGGCGAGGGGAGUGAAAAAGAACCUGAAACCGUGUACGUACAAGCAGUGGGAGCCUCUUUAUGGGGUGACUGCGUACCUUUUGUAUAAUGGGUCAGCGACUUAUAUUCUGUAGCAAGGUUAACCGAAUAGGGGAGCCGAAGGGAAACCGAGUCUUAACUGGGCGUUAAGUUGCAGGGUAUAGACCCGAAACCCGGUGAUCUAGCCAUGGGCAGGUUGAAGGUUGGGUAACACUAACUGGAGGACCGAACCGACUAAUGUUGAAAAAUUAGCGGAUGACUUGUGGCUGGGGGUGAAAGGCCAAUCAAACCGGGAGAUAGCUGGUUCUCCCCGAAAGCUAUUUAGGUAGCGCCUCGUGAAUUCAUCUCCGGGGGUAGAGCACUGUUUCGGCAAGGGGGUCAUCCCGACUUACCAACCCGAUGCAAACUGCGAAUACCGGAGAAUGUUAUCACGGGAGACACACGGCGGGUGCUAACGUCCGUCGUGAAGAGGGAAACAACCCAGACCGCCAGCUAAGGUCCCAAAGUCAUGGUUAAGUGGGAAACGAUGUGGGAAGGCCCAGACAGCCAGGAUGUUGGCUUAGAAGCAGCCAUCAUUUAAAGAAAGCGUAAUAGCUCACUGGUCGAGUCGGCCUGCGCGGAAGAUGUAACGGGGCUAAACCAUGCACCGAAGCUGCGGCAGCGACGCUUAUGCGUUGUUGGGUAGGGGAGCGUUCUGUAAGCCUGCGAAGGUGUACUGUGAGGUAUGCUGGAGGUAUCAGAAGUGCGAAUGCUGACAUAAGUAACGAUAAAGCGGGUGAAAAGCCCGCUCGCCGGAAGACCAAGGGUUCCUGUCCAACGUUAAUCGGGGCAGGGUGAGUCGACCCCUAAGGCGAGGCCGAAAGGCGUAGUCGAUGGGAAACAGGUUAAUAUUCCUGUACUUGGUGUUACUGCGAAGGGGGGACGGAGAAGGCUAUGUUGGCCGGGCGACGGUUGUCCCGGUUUAAGCGUGUAGGCUGGUUUUCCAGGCAAAUCCGGAAAAUCAAGGCUGAGGCGUGAUGACGAGGCACUACGGUGCUGAAGCGACAAAUGCCCUGCUUCCAGGAAAAGCCUCUAAGCAUCAGGUAACAACAAAUCGUACCCCAAACCGACACAGGUGGUCAGGUAGAGAAUACCAAGGCGCUUGAGAGAACUCGGGUGAAGGAACUAGGCAAAAUGGUGCCGUAACUUCGGGAGAAGGCACGCUGAUAUGUAGGUGAAGCGACUUGCUCGUGGAGCUGAAAUCAGUCGAAGAUACCAGCUGGCUGCAACUGUUUAUUAAAAACACAGCACUGUGCAAACACGAAAGUGGACGUAUACGGUGUGACGCCUGCCCGGUGCCGGAAGGUUAAUUGAUGGGGUUAGCGGUAACGCGAAGCUCUUGAUCGAAGCCCCGGUAAACGGCGGCCGUAACUAUAACGGUCCUAAGGUAGCGAAAUUCCUUGUCGGGUAAGUUCCGACCUGCACGAAUGGCGUAAUGAUGGCCAGGCUGUCUCCACCCGAGACUCAGUGAAAUUGAACUCGCUGUGAAGAUGCAGUGUACCCGCGGCAAGACGGAAAGACCCCGUGAACCUUUACUAUAGCUUGACACUGAACAUUGAGCCUUGAUGUGUAGGAUAGGUGGGAGGCUUUGAAGUGUGGACGCCAGUCUGCAUGGAGCCGACCUUGAAAUACCACCCUUUAAUGUUUGAUGUUCUAACGUUGGCCCGUAAUCCGGGUUGCGGACAGUGUCUGGUGGGUAGUUUGACUGGGGCGGUCUCCUCCUAAAGAGUAACGGAGGAGCACGAAGGUUGGCUAAUCCUGGUCGGACAUCAGGAGGUUAGUGCAAUGGCAUAAGCCAGCUUGACUGCGAGCGUGACGGCGCGAGCAGGUGCGAAAGCAGGUCAUAGUGAUCCGGUGGUUCUGAAUGGAAGGGCCAUCGCUCAACGGAUAAAAGGUACUCCGGGGAUAACAGGCUGAUACCGCCCAAGAGUUCAUAUCGACGGCGGUGUUUGGCACCUCGAUGUCGGCUCAUCACAUCCUGGGGCUGAAGUAGGUCCCAAGGGUAUGGCUGUUCGCCAUUUAAAGUGGUACGCGAGCUGGGUUUAGAACGUCGUGAGACAGUUCGGUCCCUAUCUGCCGUGGGCGCUGGAGAACUGAGGGGGGCUGCUCCUAGUACGAGAGGACCGGAGUGGACGCAUCACUGGUGUUCGGGUUGUCAUGCCAAUGGCACUGCCCGGUAGCUAAAUGCGGAAGAGAUAAGUGCUGAAAGCAUCUAAGCACGAAACUUGCCCCGAGAUGAGUUCUCCCUGACCCUUUAAGGGUCCUGAAGGAACGUUGAAGACGACGACGUUGAUAGGCCGGGUGUGUAAGCGCAGCGAUGCGUUGAGCUAACCGGUACUAAUGAACCGUGAGGCUUAACCUUACAACGCCGAAG